UACGUAGGGUGCAAGCGUUGUCCGGAAUUAUUGGGCGUAAAGAGCUUGUAGGCGGUUUGUCGCGUCUGCUGUGAAAUUUCGGGGCUCAACCCCGAACUUGCAGUGGGUACGGGCAGACUAGAGUGUGGUAGGGGAGACUGGAAUUCCUGGUGUAGCGGUGAAAUGCGCAGAUAUCAGGAGGAACACCGAUGGCGAAGGCAGGUCACUGGGACGGUACUGACGCUGAGACGCGAAAGCGUGGGGAGCAAACAGG
rnacentral:rRNA from 1 species